GGCAACCCGUUGGGGUCCCCUUCCCCAAUGUGGAAGCUUUGUUCUUUCGCUCUUUGCAAUAAAUCCUUCUGCUGCUCACUCUUUGGGCCCACACUGCCUUUAUGAGCUGUAACACUCACCGCGAAGUUCUGCAGCUUCACUCCUGAGCCAGCAAGACCACGAACCCACCAGAAGGAAGAAACUCCGAACACAUCCGAACUUCAGAAGGAACAAACUCCAGACGCGCCACCUUAAGAGCUGUAACACUCAACGCGAGGGUCCGUGGCUUCAUUCUUGAAGUCAGUGAGACCAAGAGCCCACCAAUUCCAGACACAUGUUGACUGAUGUCUCAUGUCUCCCUAAAAUGUAUAAAACCAAGCUGUGCCCCUACCACCUUAGGCACAUGUUGUCAGGACCUCCUGAGGCUGUCAUGGGCACAUGUCCUCAACCUUGGCAAGAUAAACUUUCUAAAUUAACUGAGACUUGUCUCAGACUUUGGGGGUUCAUAUUUUGGCAACCACGAAGGGAUUAUAUGUGGAGAUGCCCCUGACCUUAGGCAAAUCUCCUAUCAGUGCUUGGUACCAGCCUGAGCUAACUUUAUGGCUCAAACCAAUAGGACAAUUUGUUGAGGUCUGGAAGCACUCCCUCCAGAGAAUCCCCAAAAUUUGCUUGAGAUCAAAAGUUUAUUUUGCUAUACAACUCCUUUUUUUUUUUUUUUUUUUUUUUUUGGAGUUUUCCUUGCUUCCAACAAGGAAGGUAGGAUUUCCUGUUUCCAUGACAAUGGAAGGCAGGUAACUGCCUUAUAGAGUUUGAGCUCACUCCCAGCAAGGAAGAUGAGUUUGAGGGUUUUUUUCCUGCUUCUAGGAUGGUAGAAAGCAGUCUUCAGCCUGAGACCCAUUCCUAGGUAAGUAGCUGAAUUGGGGUUUUGUCUUGGUUAAAGUUUAACUACCAGCUGGUCUUAAUUUCUCUUUACCGUUAGAGCGCUCGGUGAUCAUGUUGGGGGUUUUUUGUUAUUGUUGUUUAUUCCGGUCUUUCUCCCAUCAGAUUUGACCAACUCUACCUGACUUGGUCCGAUCUGAGUGAGAAUUCCAAAUUAUGGGUAACAAAGCCUCUCUAAUUUGGCCCAAAUUCCUUGCAGCUGCAAAAGAGGGAAAAAAGAAAACAACAACAACAAAAACAAAAAACAAUGCCCUUGGUUUCUGUGUUUGCUUCCUGUCUUAAAAAAAAAAAGUUCUUUCAUUUACUUUUCUUUCACCCUACACCUCCUUCCCUUCUAGAGGAGGCUUCUAAUGACUUGAACUCCUUUAAAGAAUUCAGAACAAAGGUGCCACUUACCUCUUUGUAGGGGGUGUUCUGUUUUCUUUGUGGAGUUUCAAGAGUCAUGGACAGAUUCUUCUUAGGAUGAAAGCUCUGUUUUCCUGUAUUGCCUGACCUGACCUCUUUGGCUUUGGAGGUACCAGAGAUUACCAUGUACUGUGAGAAGAUUUGACCUUGGUGUGUGUAAUGGCGGACAAGAGCUACAAAGUAGGGGUGGCUGAGCACAGUUUACAGGAAAUGGUCUUGGCGGCUGCUGUUGUUUUUUCUCUCCUAGGAACUUGUUAAGGAUCUUAAUUCUAGUUCAGGCAUGCAUUCUAAGGGGUCUUCUCUAUUGCUUUUUCUCCCAAAAUUAAUCUCAAUUCAGCUUGUCUGUGCUCAUUUGCGUGAGGAACUGAGCUAUUGUUUUCAUAGAUAAAUGAGAGACUGAGUUUUCUCAGCUCCAAAAAGAAAGGGCAUUUGCUCCUCCCAGCCAAAAGGUGCCCCAGGUGACCAGGGGCUUCAUGGGAGUGUCUGGGGGGUUAACCCCAGUGGCAGUAGCCCCACAGGGAAAUCCCCAAUAAAAAUUAAUUUUUUAAAAAGGCUCAUCCAGGAAACACACAUAAGAGUUGAUCACCAGGCAUUUUGAGCCCUCUCCAAGGUCACAGACCUCUGGAGAGAGAAGCUGAGACAUGUAAGAGGGUGGAAGCAACUCAGUGGUGACACACUGUGGAGUCCUGCCCACAAGCAGCACGCAUUGAUCCACCACACAAAACCCCUAGGCCACAGCUCAGUUCUUCCUUUUAAGGAAAAAAAAUGUGGGAGACAAUCUAAAACUGAGGAGAAAACAAAGAGAAUGACCCCCUUUCGAGCACUCCUUAGGUUUUAUGGCACCUCUACUUGGCAGAGUUUAUGUAAAAUAGAAGUAAUAUGGUUUUUGUGCUCAUUUACAUUAAGGAAAAAGAGCCCUAAGGUUGACCUGCAAACUAUAGAGUUCCUAAGUUCUCUUUUUCUCUAUUUUUCUUUUCUGCCUACUUUAAAUCUGCUGUUAUUUUUCUAUUAAGUGAAAACCACUGUUUGGAUCAAACAGGUUUUUUUUGCAAGCCUGUGAAUUUGUAUUUAUCUCAUGGCUAAAGUUCUCAUGGUUAAAGUUCUGAAGUAAAAGCUAGAGGAUCUUUGUGUGUGUGUGUGUUUGUGUAUAUUUGAAAGGCCUUUAUAAUUUCUAUAAUUUUAUGUUUAAUUGGCAAUUAAAUCCAUUUUAAUUUCCCUCUAGCACACCAGACUUUUUCUCUCCGUACCUUAGGAUGUAAAUUUUGCUUUUUGAUUUUCACCUGAGUUGUUUCCUUUCAUAUGCAAAUUUAAAGCUAUUUAGCUGACAACUGCCUAGGGUAAUAAAACAGGUUAUCAAGAAUUUGAAAGUCCUAAGAUGGGGGAAAAAAAGGUUUUUAUGAAUCUGUAACAUCUAUCAGCAUACCUAAUACGUCCACGUAUCGUGUUGCAUACACAGUGUUUACUGAAGAUAUAUAAAAGAGCUCUAAUUAAUUGGCUUAAAAAAUAAAGCGCUUGAAUCAAAUGCUUUAUAAGGAAAAAAGAAAACACUAGUCAAAUGCUUUUUCAAGUUUAUGUAACUUAAGUAAAAUCUUUAAUAAAUAAGCUAGCUUUAAAAUUAUUGCUAAAGUAAUAUUAGAAGUGUCUUAAGAAUUGCCAGCAUACAUUUUCGUUUGCAUUUAUUAAUCAAGCAAUUUCAUACUUAUCCCUGCCAAAUACUAUAAGUUAUCAAAAUUUGGCAUAAGGGCUACAAAACUAUAAAGCCAGCCCAAAACAGAAUAAUUUUUGCUUGUGUAAACUUUAAUAAAUAAGACAUUGAUAUUGGUUUAAAUAAAAAUAGCUACAUCUUAGAUCUAGUAAGAUUACCAUGACUUCUAAUUGUGUGGCUUUAGGCAGUCUAGUCCACAGGCAAGUAAGGUUUGUUUUGGGAAGGGACUGUUAUUGUCUUUGUUUCAAAGCUAAACUAUAAACUGAGUUCCUCCCUAAGUUAGUUCGGCCUAUGCCCAGGAAUAAACAAGGACAGCUUGGAGGUUAGAAGCAAUAAAGUUCAACUUUUAUUGCAUCUCACCAUUUUCUGUUUUCUCUCCCCUUUUAAAAGGUGCGAAACAGUAAAGCUCUCCUUCGACUCAUUUUCAGCUCAUAAAAGUUUUUUUUUCCUUAAGUUCUGUUUGUUGUGGACUAAUGCUAACAAUGUUUUCUUAAAGGUCUAAAGGAAAUGUUUUCUUCCAACAUAAUAUUCUGUGCAGUGCAGACCUUUUCUUUUGCCUUUUGGUAACUGGCCUAACAGACUUUACAUUUUAUUGAAACAAUUCCUAUGCCAUUAUUAUUGUCAUACGCGUCCGUGUGAAGAGACCACCAAACAGGCUUUGUGUGAACAAUAAAGCUUUUUAAUCACCUGGGUGCAGACGGGCUGAGUCCGAAAGGAGUCAGCGAAGGGAGAUAGGGGUGGGGCCGUUUUAUAGGAUUUGGGUAGGUAGUGGAAAAUUACAGUCAAAGGGGGUUGCUCUCUGGCGGGCAGGGGCAGGGGUCACAAGGUGCUCAGUGGGGGAGCUUCUGAGCCAGGAGAAGGAAUUUCACAAGGUAAUGUCAUCAGUUAAGGCAGGAAUCGGCCAUUUUCACUUCUUUUGUGAUUUCUUCAGUUACUUCAGGCCAUCUGGAUGUAUACGUGCAGGCUUGGGCUCAGAGACCUGACAAUUAAGUUUCGGUUUGCUUAGGGAAAAAACUGAGAUUAAACUUUUUUUAAAUUAAGGUUAUUACAUCUGUAUAUCUAGAAAGAUGUAUGUGCUUCUUAAAGUAUUUGUGACAUUGAGUUACAGGGCUUUGACUCCUGGGUCUAAAAAGGAUACCAAGUCCUGCUAAAUCUUAAACACUGACAGCAAUUAUAGCUUCAUCCUCAGGCGUGGUAGAAGAUGUCAAUCAAAAUAAACUGCAUUCCUGAGACACAGGGCCAGAAAUUAAAGCUAUUCAACUCCUCAAGGCCCAGGGACUAUCGUGGAAGACGUGGACAUGUGAGAUUGUGCUCUUGAGUACAAGUUUCUGAUAACUUUGGAGAUUGUGACAUCAGAAUAGAGGAAAAACUUUUAGGACUCAUGGAGAAGUGAAAUGUUCAUGAACAUCAGGCAGAACAGGAAUUAACUGCAUGGACAGAACUAAUACAAAACUGAGGUAAUCUUUUUGACUUUUUGCUUAAAAUGCUGCUGAUCCUUUGUUUCGUUUUUCCAGAGUCAGGAAACUUCUUUUGCACUAUUGACAGCUUUUAACAAUUUAGUAUACUCCUAUGAACAAAAUUUAAAAUAUAUUUGUUUCUCUCUACCUGAUUUCUCCAGAAUUUGGAAACUAUUUGUGAAUAUUCUUAACUUAUGGCAACACAGUUAUUUGCAUAAGUGCAAUAAGAAUCUGUUUUCAGACACAAUUGGAGAAACUGGUUAUUUUGCCAAGGCUUUGACUGGAAUGGUGUGCUUUCCUUUAAAAAACCAAACUUGACUUAUGGAGCCAAUAAAAGCCCCUUGGAAAUACUGGCCUCAUACCUAGUCUACACAGUUCCUGUACAGGGUUCCUGACCUGUGGUAAGUGAAGCAUGUCACUUUCUGACAGGCCCAGGAACCCCAAGUUUAUAUUGGAACCUCAAGAGGAGAGGAAUUCACCCAACUCAUAGGUAUUUGAUGGUACAAAUCCAUGGCUGAGCUUGGCUUUUAAAAAGUCUUAUCCGAGAUUCCUUCUAUGGAACAAAUUUCCAUCAAAGCCAAUUUAAAAGCCUAUGUAAAAAAAUAAUUAUUCUUGCUGCACUUUAUAGAAAUAAUCAUGCCAAGUAUAACAAAGCAAAUCGGUCCUACCAUGAUUUCUCUUUAGUAGAAAUGGGAAACUGCAGAGAGAAAAAUUACGUUUCAGAAACUAUAGUACACCUGUUGUUAGACUCUAGCCUUGCCUAAUGUUUUUCAAUUGUUAUUAUUUUUUACAGUUUGGACUGAAUUCUAAUUUUUCUUGGCUACAAGUCUUCAAAAUAAUGUUUUCAAGUUUUUUCCUUCUUUUUUUCCCCCAUUUUUCCUAAUUUGGAGUCACUGAAAACUAAGCUGUGCUUUUGUAAACCCUGCAAACUGAAGCCAGACAACUUAAACUUUAGAAGAAAAUAACAGCAACCUGCUUACAUACAUAAGGCACUUUCAUCCCUGCCUACUGAUAUAUAAACUUCAGAGUAAUGUGGCCUAUAUCGAUUUUCCAGGAUUGUUCUUUUGUUUGUUGUUGUUUUUAUCCCUUCCUCCCCCAUUUUCUCUUCAUAGGACAUGAGACUUCACAACCUGCUAAAAAUGAACUUUCCUAAUAACUGGGGACCUACCCGUCUAGGAAUAAACCAUCCUAGCCAUGACAGAUCAGAUGAAACCUGAGACCAGAGACUCAUUUUCUCCUAAAAUGCUUUCUCCAAAAGAUUUUUAAAAAGAAAAGGGGGAAAAUAUGAAUGGAAAAUAAAUCUUGGGGCCCCAACAUCACUAAGCUAAAGGGAAAAGUCAAGCUGGGAACUGCUUAGGGCCAACCUGCCUCCCAUUCUAUUCAAAGUCACCUCUCUGCUCACUGAGAUAAGUGUAUAUCUGACUGCCUCAUUUGGAGAGGCUAAUCAGAAACUCAAAAGAAUGCAACCAUUUGUCUCUUAUCUACCUAUGACCUGGAAACCCCCUCCGCACUUUGAGUUGUCCCACCUGUGAAAGGAAAAUAAAUCUUGGGGCCCCCAAAUCACUAAGCUAAAGGGAAAAGUCAAGCUGAGAACUGCUUAGGGCCAACCAUCCUCUCAUUCUAUUCACAGUCACCCCUCUGCUCACUGAGAUAGAUGCUAUCUGAUUGCCUCCUUUGGAAAGGCUAAGCAGAAACUCAAAAGAAUGCAACUUUCCAUCUCUCACCUAUCUGUGACCUGGAAGCCCAGUCCCUGCUUUGAGUCUUCCUGCCUUUGCUUCAAGCUGUCCCGCCUUUCCAGACCAAACCAAUGUACUUCUUACAUAUAUUGAUGUCUCAUGUCUCAUGUCUCCCUAAAAUGUAUAAAACUAAACUGUGCCCCUACCACCUUGGGCACAUGUCGUCAGGACUUCCUGAGGCUGUGUCAUGGGCACAUCCUCUACCCUGGCAAAAUAAACUUUCUAAAUUAACUGGGACCUACCUCAAAUUAUCUGGGUUCACACGCCUUUGCCUCGAGUUGUCCCACCUUUCCGGACUGAACCAAUGUACAUCUUAACACAUACUGAUUGAUGUCUAAUGUCUCUCUAAAAUGUAUAAAACCAAGCUGUGCUCUGACCACCUUAGGCACUUGUCAUCAGGAUCUCCUGAGGCCAUAUUAUGGGUGCACGUCCUCAACCUUGGCAAAAUAAGCUUUCUAAAUUAACUGAGACGUGUCUCAGAUUUUCGGGAUUCACAAUCUCCACUCUUCACCAAACCUACAAUAAAAAACCCUCAGCUUCUCAGCUUUAACUGUUUCUUCGGGUCUUCAUUUUCUUAUGAAGGUUCAUGUGUCACAUAAAACUUUAAAAAAUUUGUACACUUUUCUCUCAUUAAUCUGUCUUCUGUUAUAGGGCCUCAGCCAUGAACUUGGAAUGGGUAGAUUAAAAAAAAUAUUUUUCCUCCCCUACACAUUUUUUUUUUUUUUUUUGAGACGGAGUCUCAGUCUGUUGACCAGGCUCAAGUGCAAUGGCGUGGUCUUGGCUCACUGCAACCUCUGCCUCCCAGUUUAAGCAAUUAUCCUGCCUCAGCCUCCUGACUAGCUGGGACUACAGGCGCGUGCCACCACACCUGGCUAAUUUUUUUGUAUUUUUAGUAGAGAUCGGGUUUCAUCAUGUUGGCCAGGCUGGUCUUGAACUCCUGACCUCAUGAUCCGCCCGCCUCGGCCUCGCAAAGUGCUGAGAUUACAGGCGUGAGCCACCACACCUGGCCCUCCCCUACACAUUUCUAAGUAUCUUACCUGAUUUUCUAUGGCACCUUUGGGUUGCAGAACCUUAGCUGUAGGAGAAAUGGUGGUGACGGCCAAUGUCUGGCACUGACUUUAACAGAGUACAGAUGUGUAUGUAAAUAGUACUUAUUUUAACAAAAUAGAAAGUUCAAGAAAGAAAUACAGCAACAAAAGUGACAAUUAGAUUGGAAGAGACCCAUUCUUGUUUGCUUGUUUUCUCCAUAAGCCAUCUAGCUUUUUUUUUUUUUUUUGUGAGACGGUCUCACUGUCUCCCAGGCUGGAGUGCAGUGGUGCCAUCACAGCUCACCUCAGCCUUGACCUCCCAGGCUCAAGUGAUCCUCCCACCUUAGCCUCUCAAGUAGCUGGAAGUAUAGGCAUGUACCACCAUGCCCAGCUAAUUUUUUUUUAUUUUUCAUGGAGACAGGGUCUCACUAUAUUGCCCAAGCCAGUCUUGAAUUCCUGGGCUGAAGCGAUCCUCCUGCCUCAGCCUCCCAAAAUGUUGGGAUUAUAGUCAUGAGCUACCAUGCCCAGCCCUAACUCCAUUCUUAAUUGUCACUUAGCCUACACUUUCACUUCAUUGACAUUUAUAGGCUGACAACAAGCAGAUGAAGAUACCAUUGAAACAGUGCCACCACUCACCCAACUGUCCUGUCAGUCAGGAAAAGCACAUCCCCACUGGGUCUCAGAGCUCUCGGCCCGUUGUCUUUGCACUGUGUGACCACACACAAAACCAGGUAAAGUAUUUACCUGCUUUGUUCAGGAGGCUGUCCUUGGCUCUCUAGUUUCUGAUAGGACCCCAUUUUAAACUCUCAAGCCCCCUUGUCCUUGUUCUUUGAUAGUGUCAUAGCCUCUAAACAUAUCACAAUUAUUAAUAUAAUUAAAUACUUAUUUCCCUAUAGAUUUGUUUAAAGCCUGCCUUCCCCCAAGAGAUGGUCAGGUCUGAAGGCAGGUUUGUUACAGAUGACAGGCUCUUGGGCUCAUCAUGUAAUAAAAGUUAACAUGGGGACAAGCAGAUUUCCAGAAAAGGCUUUUAUCUUGGGGCUUGUGCUCGAGUGCAGGGGAGACACCAGAGGUACAAGGACCCUCAAGCUGACUCCCUGAAAAGGUGGUAGGGAUUUUUUUUAUUAGGCAAACACAGGAAUUGGUAUCAUGGGUAGGGUAUGCAGGCUGGCCUGGGCAAAGCACGUGACGGGUAGGGGAUGCUGGUUAGCGUAUCUAGUUGUGAUGGUUAUCUUGAGUAAUGGGCCACCUGGGGGUCUGGCCAGCUGUAACAAGGCUGCAAAUCAAUUGUUCAGGGUUCCUUCCCUUCCCAUGAUGGGACAUUCUGAAACCUCGGUUUGAUGUUUAGAUUUCCUAAGGCCAGUUCCUGGAAUUCUUUUAAGUAAAAGGCAUGAUUAAACAUUAUGAGAGCACAGAAGAAUGGCUAUUUUCUUUGUAAGCCUGAAGCCUUAUCUAAAACCAAUUGUCAGCAAGGCAGGGGUGUGGGUCUUGUGAUCAGUGAGACAAGAAGAAAAAAAAAAACGUGAAAAAGGAACUGAGUUCCUUUUCUAUUCUAUCUGAGGUUACUCCCCACUGCACCCCCGGCACCUGACAUUGUGAGAGGCAUUUGAACCAGAGUGACUCCAUCUUGAAUAGGGGCUGGGUAAAAUGAAUCUGAGACCUACUGGGCUGCAUUCCCAGGAGGUUAGGCAUUCUUAGUCACAGGAUGAGAUAGGAGGUUGGCAGGACUGGUAUCACAAGAUACAGGUCAUAAAAACUCUGACCAUAAAACAAGAUGUGGUAUAGAAGCCAGCCAAAACCAAGAUGGUGAGAAAAGUGACCUCUAGUCAUCCUCACUGCUCAUUAUACUCAAAUUAUAAUGCAUUAGCAUGCUUAAAGAAAUUUCCACUAGCACCAUGACAGCUUACAAAUGCCAUGGCAGUGUUCAGAAGUUACCCUAUAUAGUCUAAAAAGGGGAGGAACCCUCAGUUCCAGGAAUUCCCCACCCCUUUCCCAGAAAACUCAUGAAUGAUCUACCCUUUAUUUAGCAUAUGAUCAAGAAAUAACCAUAAGUAUACCCAGUCAGCAGCGCGUGCCGCUGCUGUGUCUAUGGAGUAGCCAUUCUUUUGUCUCUUUUACUUCUCUAAUAAACUUUAUUCUAUGAAUUUGCCCCCAAAUUCUUUCUUGCGCAAGAUCCAAGAACCCUCUUUUGGGGUCUGGACUGGGACCCCUAUCACCAUGCCUGGCUCAAGAAACAUUUGUUGAGUAAUGAUUUAUAGUGACUUUCUAUGUGCUCAUGUCUCACUCUUGUUCCAGUACCUGUAUGCUAAGCAGCCAUGCUACUGUCCUUCUGUGCUUCCCUACAUUCCAAGUUCAAGGGGACAGGAUGGUUUAUUGUUUCUUAAGUGCUUGUCUUUCUGGUCCUGUUUACAUGCAUCAUUAGCCCACAGGAAAGCACUCUGUUACAAAUGACUUUAGAAAUCACAAUCAUUAAAAUUGAAAACUUCCAUUUAAGCCAGACUACCCCUUUGUGAUGUUAAAAGUGUUGCCUCUGAGCUUCCAACCCCCUCUCUAUGAGGCCUAUUCCAGCUUUUAACCUACCGUGGGUGCGGGCUUUUCAUUUGGAGCCUCUUGUGAUCUUCAAGCUGUAAUUUUCGCAAGCAGGGCCCUAAAGCUCUUUAAUUUUUUUGUUUACCAGAAUUACUCAUUUCAUUUUUGUAUGUGCUUGGUAGAUGAAUUUUCUGUGGCAUCUUACAAAAUAAGGCCAUAAUACCUUAUGGCAUUAAAAAAAAGUUGGGGGGGGAGCAAAACCACCACAAAAAAAUUAACUGAACAAUUAAAAUAUUUAAAUUAGUAUUAGAAAGCUUAAAUGUAGGCAACAACUAAGUCAUCUCAAGCACAUUCAACAGGAAAAAGUAGAAAACAUACUAGAUAAGAACGUCAGAGAAUGGGGCAAGGACUGGGGGAGGUGAAGGAGGUGCAGAGCUGGAUCCUGUCUUUAUUUGAAAAUUUGAUUUUGUGUUCAAAUGUGAAUUAUUUCAUUUUGAUUUUUUUUUUUUUUUUUUUUGAGACGGAGUCUUGCUCUUGUCGCUCAGGCUGGAGUGCAAUGGUGCAAUCUCAGCUCACUGCAACCUCCGCCUCCCGGGCUCAAGCAAUUCUCCUGCUUCAUCCUCCCAAGUAGCUGGGAUUACAGGCACGGGCCACCAUGCC
rnacentral:lncRNA from 1 species